ensembl:lncRNA
AAAGCUAGUAGAUCAACUACCUUUCUUCCUAGGAUUAACUUUUCUGUGAUGUUAUAAAGCUCCUCAGAGGAUGGUUCAGUCGUGUUGCCUGCAGCUGCAAAAGGCAAGGAAUGACAGAUGGCACCAGAGACACAGGAUCAUGAGGGAGUGGGCCAAGAAGGGGCUGUGGAAAAGCUGGUGAUGCUCUUUACUUCUGACUUGAAAAUCCUCGCUGCUCUGGAUGAGGAGGAGCCACGUGGCAGAGGGGUCUUUCAGCGUACAUUUUUUUCAAGUCUCACCCAGUUGUGGGGCGAAGGUGGAAAAUGAAUUGAUUUACUAUGUUCAUGAUGAUAGUGAGGAGCUUCUUGACAAUUUCACCAUCUUUGCAAAUAGCUCAGAUCUUGGAAAACAGAGUUUGCCCCAAACUCUUUUUGUGGUUGUUGAAUCAGUGAACGAUGAGGCUCCAGUAAUAACAGUCAGUAAAAUCCUUCAGAAAAUGUAUGCCAACCCCUUCUGUAGACCAGCUCUAUGCAAUAGGACUUCCUGUGAUGAUGAAAAUGUUUUGUAUAUGUGCUGUUCAACACAGUAGCCACUACUCACAUGUGGCUAUGAAGUAUUUGAAAUGUGGCCAGUAUGAUUAAGUCCUUCUGUUGAAAAACAGAGGAUCAAGUUGAACCCUAACAGAUGACGAAACAAGCCCAGGGAGCAGUGGGGAGCCGAAGAAUCUAGACCACCGAGCUACAAAAUGGUGCAGCAGAGCCUCCAUGUCUGGGUGGUGGUUGACACAAAGAGAAAAAGGGCCUUUGGUGAGAGUGGUGGCCAGGCAGGUGACAGCGAGGGACAGGAAGAAAGCAAGGAGAACAGCCGGCAAUAAGGAGCAGAUAGUUUCCUAUGUGUCAGAGGUCUCUGUGUUGGGGCGGCACGUCGAACUGUUGUCCUCAGCUUUGAAGUCUCCCUGUGACUGCCCAGCACCAUAGCCCCUCCUGCCGGGUUAACCUGCCUGCCCAGACGCUGCCCAGCUGCUGUGUUCUCUCUGACAGGGAAGGAUUUGAGAUGGAAGGACAAGGACCACUCGCUCUCCUUACUUGUCAUCGGAGCUUGGACGAGGUGGCAAGAAGGGUCCUCUGCAGUCUAAUUGGGAGAAGGAAGUGGGAGUGUAAGAGGAAGAAUAGCCCUGAGCUAACAUCUGUGCCCAUCUUCCUCUGCUUUACAUGUGGGACGCCUACCACAGCAUGGCUUGUCAAUCCGUGCCAUGUCCACACCUGGGAUCCGAACCAGUGAACCCCAGGCCGCUGAAGUGGAACCUGCACACUUAACCGCUGCGCCACUGGUCCGGCCCAAGGAGAGAUCAUUUCCAUCUUGACAAACUGGAGUUAGGAAUUGGAGUUAGACCACUUCCAGUGAAUCCUUUGCAUUUUACUUUGAAAUAUGUUCUACUGAGUACUUUUGUGUUCGGGCAGACCAGUGAUUUUUGCGCAUACCUGAUAAAAUAUAUGUGUGUCCACAAGGGGGCUUCAUUUUCUUACUUUUCAACUUUUGCUUUCAAUAAUACUGUACGUUUUGUUUUGAUGGUGUUUUUUAUACCAAAAAUAGAAACACUUGCUUGUUUCUGAUAAACACUUGUCAUCAGUAAAAAGAGAGCUAGGGACAGUAGAAGAAUUAGGGGAGCACAGUCUGAAAUGAUGACUGACGGAGCAGAAGUUCGAAUAAUGGGGUAGUGAAUUCAUGAAUAUUUCACAUCCCUCCUAUGGAACUCAAAACGACGGUCUGGGUUUUUAGAUGGAUAAUAAUUAGGAUUAUACUGGACUAUAAUUAGGUUUAUAAAUCCCAUUAAC